AAUUACCUGGAUAGUUUUGCAGAUUUCAAACAUCAAAGACUUUUAUUCUUUUCUAUCUCUCUAGGUAUUUAUUUGGCCUCCCUCUCCACAAGAGCUGAGCACCUCACAAUCACUAAUGGAUUUUGCUGGGUUUGUCUUGUUUCCUGCACCCCAAAGAAGUUCUGCCCAGAGAUUAAACGUCUCCUUUCUGGGAAGCGGUUUGCGAAAAUAAAACCAGAAUGUCUCGAAGAAUCCCAGAUCAACAGUCAAAGUGAUGAUUCCAAAAGAGGUAUUAUUAAAUAUUGCUAGUCAAAAUGCACAAUUAUUAACAAUGUGAUUCAUUUGGGGCGGGGAAGAGUGAAUAGACCUUGGUUGCAAAAUUGGAUUCUUAGCAAAAUGCAGGGCAGGCUCAGGGGUGAUUGGCUGGGAUCAGAGUCCCAGCACUCAUGAAAACAAAACUGAGUGCAGCACUUUAUUCACCCCGAGACAGCGCCAACAUGCCUUUCUCCGACGAAACACCCACUGACUUCAAUCUCUUCAACUCAAUGGGAGUUUUGCCUGAAUGAGGGCUACAAGAUUCAUCCCCUGUACGUGCUCUCAAGUAUCCCUGUCUAAAUCAAAAUCUUAACUGCAUCUUUAUUCUGAUCACAGGCUCCGUUUCAGUUAGUUCUCUAAACAAAUGUUAUUUGGACAUGUGGUGUCAUGGGAGGAUAUUGCAAUGGCUCCAAAAUGCUUUUCACCAAUAAGAAACUAGCAUUUCACUGAAUCAUGCUAUCCUGUAAUUCAGUUUGUUCUCAGGAAGCAAAAACUCCAUGGGGGAACAUGCCCAGGCAAUGGUAUGCAUUGUUUUAACCUGUGGAAAACAGGUUAAAAUUAAAAUCAGUGGCACUUCCAGCAUCUCUGGCAUGAAUCUUUAAUUGUGUAUAAUCACAGUGCAAUCUGUUGUAAUAUCAAUAGAUGGAGCUAGGUGAGAAAGGAAAGGUAUGGAGGGAAUCGUUUCUCCCAUGGCACAGAUUUAACUCUUGAUUUGACCUGAUUAAGGACAGAUCCCCGAUUUAGCUCCUGAGGCUUUGAAAAUAACAGAAGGAAAUAGCAAUAUGCAGCCCUGCUGGAAUUGGACCCAGUGGGAAAACAAUGACAGUUGAUCUCAUGGAAAAGUCAAGAGUUGGAGCCAGUUCAGACUUCAGAGCAAACUAGGAGCACAGGGAUUGGGUGCAGGGGAGGGGAAGUCUGACCAGGGAGGUUGGGAAGACAGCUACAGGGAGAGAAGGCUUCAACACUGAACCUUCAAC
rnacentral:lncRNA from 1 species